GGUUAUUUUGCUCAGCCCAGUCAGCCCAGUUUACCUGGAGUGACCCCUGAGCCUUUUAGUCGCCAACAAAACUCCAGAAUUUCUUGACCUAUAACUCCCAGAGAAGGUUCUGUCAGAAUGGACUCUACAGGGGACUCACACAACUGGUGCUUUUCCGGGCUUUACCUUUUGUUUCCUCAUUCUUUUCUGGUUAAGCCAAACCAAACUCAUGACUGUAACUGUCACACAACUCCUGAAUCGGUACCUCCAGCCCUGACUUUUCCCCAGGAUUCCAGACAUAUAUUUUUAUCUGCUUGCGUAACAUCUCCCACCUAACAGGAGGUUUAAACUCAACAUAUCCCAAACCAAACUAAUCACAUUCUCCCCACCACUAGUAGUAGACUUCUUCAUCUCCUACAUUCCUUUCUGUUUGGGUUAGUUGCAUUAUCAUUUACCAAAUUGCUUAAGCCAAAGUCUGGUGUCAUGUUAAUUCCCUUUUUCUCCUUCAUUACCUAAUAGUCACCAGGGCUCACCUCUCUACUCUCACAUACCUCACCUUUCCAUUUUUUUUUUCAUUCUACUGUCACUUCCCUAUUUCAGGACUUCAGCACCUCCCACUUGGACCAGGGCAACAGCUUUCUACUUGUCUCUGGGUCACAGAAUCAUCCACCAGAACCCAUCCAUCCAGGUGGCUGUCAAGGAGAUGGCUGUAAUACAGCUCAGCUCAUACUUCUCUGCCUCCAAAACUGUUUUUGAUGAUUCCUCAUUUCGAGGAGGAAAAAUUCCAAACUCCUUGAUGUGUCCUUCCCCAGCAGGCUCCCAUCAUCCCAAUUUCCUCCUCUGACACUCUCCACAGUGCAUUUUGUAGAAGUAGUGACAGAUUGCUGCCCCCUUCUGAAUACAAUAAUGACAAUUGGUGAUUGCUUUCCCUAGUGUCUGUCUCUCGCUCUCUAAUACCUGUAUUUUAUUUAUUCUAUGUGGUGCUGAGGAUCAAACCCAGUGCUUCACACAUACCACUGAAGCACAACUCCAGCCUUUUCCCUAGCCUCUUGUGCAGUUAGAUGUGGACUGGUGACAAAGUUCUGGACAAUGUUAUGCUCAACAAAGUAAAAUCUACCAUCUGAGCCCAUGAAAAUGAAGAUGACACCAAAGGGAAUGAGGAGUGGCAAGGUGACAGCACCAUGGAGCAGAACUGCCACAGCUGCACUUCCUACCUCUGGAAUUUGGGAUGAGAAAUAGCCUUCUAACUUGAUUAAGCUACUGUUAUUUUGGGUCUCUGCCUCUUGCUGAAGAGGUAACACUGACACAGAAUUUGGCACCAGGUAUGGGAUGGUACCAGUAGCUCCAUACUAGUCUUUUUCUGUGUACUCCAUGGGGACUCAAGAAACCAGCCAAUCAAUCCUCCAGCCUUGGAAUUUAUCAUUUGGGCCAUAAAAUCUUAUUACCAUAGCCAUUUGGCCUCUGAUAUUUUUAAUUCUGUGGAGACUUUUUUUCCCCCACAAAUGUGACCACAAAUGAUACUUUAAUUAACGGCUCUGCUACUGUGUGCUGCAGGUUGACGGACCUUGAGAGUGCAUCUCGUUGAUAGAAUUGUAGCUUCAAGAUCCUCUGGGAUGUGUGGCUUUGUUUCUGAUUCUGUUGAACAGGGAGCAACAGGGAGCACACGCUGAGCACGUCAACCCGAAGUGUCUGCACACACUCCUCAAUCCAGCCGCACAGGACAACUCACCCUGCUGCAGGGUUAAAGUUUGUGCCUCUUUUUACAUUUCUACAUUUCCUUCUGCCCUGAAUCUUGUCUCCUCCCUCUCUUGCUUCUCUGCUUUCUGAGUUUAUGCUCCUCUUUCAAGAUCUAAAUCAAAUAUUCCCACUGGUAGAACAGGUCCAUCCUGCCUGUUGCUAGAUCUAAGUUGACUUUAAAUAUUCUUCAGUUAUUGUCCAUUGAUGAAUCAUUUGCUGGUUUACAGAUCUCUGCUUCCUUGCUAAAAUGAGUGCCUUGAGGGCAGGAUUGUAAGUGACUGUGAUUUUUAUCUGCUGUGUCCUCUCCCAAAGAGCUUUCCCUGGGAAAAUGUUUGUUGAACUAGUGAAUAUUGAUAACCAAAGCUACCUCCUUCCUCAGACUGGUUAAGAGCAUAGACUCUAGAGUAAAACUGCCUGUGAGUGGACGUGGGCUCUACCAUGUACAGCUGGUGGGGGGGGCAACUCGAGCAUAUUAUGCAACCUCUCUGUACCAUCGUUCCCAUCUCUGCUAAGUGAGGAGAAUAACACCCAGAGAGGUAACAGAGGGAGUAAAUAGCACUAUCCCCAUGAAGCAUUAGCAUAGUGCUUAUCACAGUCAGUGUCAAGGCUAUAGCUGGGGUGGCUGUCAAUCUCUUGGCAUGCAAUCACUUUCCUUUUUCUCUCCUCUCUCUGUCCUUUGUUUUUCAAUAACAUUUCAACUUAACAUUUCCUGAGUCACAGCACUGUGCCAAGGCAAACACAGCCACUACCUUCAGGAGCUUGCUGCAUUUUAAGGAGGCAGACACAUAAACCAUGAGCUACAGUGAAGCCUGGUGCAUAAAUGGUAGACAUUUUCACUGGUUUCCAUGGCAGCAUAAUGGAGAGAGGCGGUUACCAUGGGCAGGAGAAAACAGAUGGGCCAGAAAAUGGUUUACAAAUCCUUGAACUGACUCUCAAAAGAGGAAUGGGAGGGAGGAAGGACUUCUGGGCAGAGAAUAGCAUGUGCAGAGGCUUAGAGAUGUUCAACACACAGUGUGGCUUGGGGAAUUGCCAGUGGUUCAGUACAACUAGGCAGCAAGUGGUUCUCAAUCUUGAAAAUGCAACAGGUUGUUGCAUGGAAGCCUUGUUAAAAUGCAGAUUGAUGAUUCAUUAAGUCUAGGGUAGGUCCUGAGAUUUUCCAUUUUUAAUAAGCUCCCACAUUAUUUUUCUGGGACCAUACUCUUAAUCUAUGAGGAGGCCAGAGGGCAGCAGUUGGGACUGGCAAACAGAAAAUGGUGGGAAAUCAAGCUGGACUUCAUAAAAGCUAGCUUACAAGUUUAGAUUUUAUAAAAAUAAUGUUUUAAAAAACUAUUGGAGUGUUUAGUUAAGUGCAUAUGAUUGGGUCUGUGUGGAAUGAAUAGAUUUUUAAGGCAACAAGAUUUUGGGAGGGAAGACACAUGAUCAUUUGAAUCCAGGUGCAUUUUGGGUGGUCUGUCACUAGUUAACCUGUGCCAGGUUCCUAGCAUCUAACCAAGUUCCCUACCCCUUCAGCUGUUUUGUUUUUCUCAUCACAGAAUUAUCUCUCUCCCGUGCCCUCUCAUCUUCAUUUCCUCUGACUUAUUGUCUUCCAACAUCUUCUGCCUUUCUCUCUCCCCCAUUAACCUUCCUGUUGAGCAUUCCUGUUUAAGUCAAGACCUCAAACACGUAGACUUCCCUGAGUCAUGCUUCCCUGCCCCGUUUGGCUGCUAUUAUUGAUAAUUUUUAAUCAAAAAUUUCUCAGCAAUUGGUCACCAUCUCCUGUACCUCCUCAUAACUGGUCCUUAAAACUCAACCUUUUGUACCUGCUUCUGUGAUGAAAUAGCAACCUCUUUUUCGUUUUUGUGUUAAUCUCAUCACUCACACUACCACCAAAAUGUCUUGAGGACCCAUAUGAGUAACUCCAGGAAAAACAGUUGAUCAAUGUUAUUGAAAAAUGCUACAACAGAAUUGAAUUUUUAAGACUCCAAGACAUUGUUAACCUUUCUAUUCCAAAACAGCUUACAGGAAACUCAAAUGCCAUGGGAAUGUGGUACUGUUCCUAACUUAACCGACAUAAUCCAGUUCAUGUAAAUUUAUGAAAUUAGAAUAAAAUUGACACAUAUGUGAAA